GACGGAGGGCGCGAACGUUGUUCGGAAUCACUGGGCGUAAAGGGCGCGUAGGCGGGUCGAUAAGUCAGGGGUGAAACCCCGGGGCUCAACUCCGGGCCUGCCUUUGAAACUGUCGACCUAGAGUGCAAGAGAGGAAGGCGGAAUUCCAGGUGUAGCGGUGGAAUGCGUAGAUAUCUGGAAGAACACCAGUGGCGAAGGCGGCCUUCUGGACUGACACUGACGCUGAGGCGCGAAAGCUGGGGGGAGCAAACAGG
rnacentral:rRNA from 1 species